AGAGUUUGAUCCUGGCUCAGGAUGAACGCUGGCGGCGUGCCUAAUACAUGCAAGUCGAGCGAACGGACGAGAAGCUUGCUUCUCUGAUGUUAGCGGCGGACGGGUGAGUAACACGUGGAUAACCUACCUAUAAGACUGGGAUAACUUCGGGAAACCGUAGCUAAUACCGGAUAAUAUUUUGAACCGCAUGGUUCAAAAGUGAAAGACGGUCUUGCUGUCACUUAUAGAUGGAUCCGCGCUGCAUUAGCUAGUUGGUAAGGUAACGGCUUACCAAGGCAACGAUGCAUAGCCGACCUGAGAGGGUGAUCGGCCACACUGGAACUGAGACACGGUCCAGACUCCUACGGGAGGCAGCAGUAGGGAAUCUUCCGCAAUGGGCGAAAGCCUGACGGAGCAACGCCGCGUGAGUGAUGAAGGUCUUCGGAUCGUAAAACUCUGUUAUUAGGGAAGAACAUAUGUGUAAGUAACUGUGCACAUCUUGACGGUACCUAAUCAGAAAGCCACGGCUAACUACGUGCCAGCAGCCGCGGUAAUACGUAGGUGGCAAGCGUUAUCCGGAAUUAUUGGGCGUAAAGCGCGCGUAGGCGGUUUUUUAAGUCUGAUGUGAAAGCCCACGGCUCAACCGUGGAGGGUCAUUGGAAACUGGAAAACUUGAGUGCAGAAGAGGAAAGUGGAAUUCCAUGUGUAGCGGUGAAAUGCGCAGAGAUAUGGAGGAACACCAGUGGCGAAGGCGACUUUCUGGUCUGUAACUGACGCUGAUGUGCGAAAGCGUGGGGAUCAAACAGGAUUAGAUACCCUGGUAGUCCACGCCGUAAACGAUGAGUGCUAAGUGUUAGGGGGUUUCCGCCCCUUAGUGCUGCAGCUAACGCAUUAAGCACUCCGCCUGGGGAGUACGACCGCAAGGUUGAAACUCAAAGGAAUUGACGGGGACCCGCACAAGCGGUGGAGCAUGUGGUUUAAUUCGAAGCAACGCGAAGAACCUUACCAAAUCUUGACAUCCUUUGACAACUCUAGAGAUAGAGCCUUCCCCUUCGGGGGACAAAGUGACAGGUGGUGCAUGGUUGUCGUCAGCUCGUGUCGUGAGAUGUUGGGUUAAGUCCCGCAACGAGCGCAACCCUUAAGCUUAGUUGCCAUCAUUAAGUUGGGCACUCUAAGUUGACUGCCGGUGACAAACCGGAGGAAGGUGGGGAUGACGUCAAAUCAUCAUGCCCCUUAUGAUUUGGGCUACACACGUGCUACAAUGGACAAUACAAAGGGCAGCGAAACCGCGAGGUCAAGCAAAUCCCAUAAAGUUGUUCUCAGUUCGGAUUGUAGUCUGCAACUCGACUACAUGAAGCUGGAAUCGCUAGUAAUCGUAGAUCAGCAUGCUACGGUGAAUACGUUCCCGGGUCUUGUACACACCGCCCGUCACACCAUGAGAGUUUGUAACACCCGAAGCCGGUGGAGUAACCUUUUAGGAGCUAGCCGUCGAAGGUGGGACAAAUGAUUGGGGUGAAGUCGUAACAAGGUAGCCGUAUCGGAAGGUGCGGCUGGAUCACCU
rnacentral:rRNA from 1 species